AAGCAAAGGCACCCUGCUUCCCCUCAUAUCAGUUGUUUUCUGCUUAUCAAGGAAAAGGUUAACAUUUCUCCUUCCCCUACUCAGUCCUCCUGUGACACAGGACAGAGAUUGGAGUGUAACAGACAAACAUGGCAAGAGUCAAGCAAAGAAAUGGAAACAGGGUAGGAAGGAGCAUCAGAGAAAGCCACACCCUAGAAGCUGCAGGGUUUGCCUCGGAGGUUGGAUCGCAGCGAGCAGAGCACAGAAAAGCAGAAGCAGAAUACAGAAAAGUAUAGAAAAUAGGAUCCCAGUGCAGAACCAGUCCCAGUCCAGAGGAGAAGAUGGAGACUUUGUGAUUCUGUGCUGCAGGAAAAGUGCAGCUAGACUGAAACUAAAUGCUGACACACUCCCUUAGCCUCUCGGUGAAUAUACAUCCUUGGAUGCCAACCAGAUUAUUCUGGGCUGCCCUGCAUUGCAUUAUGCCUGGCUGAUCACUGCUUGCAGAGCUGGAGCUUCAGGUCAUUGCAGAGAAAGAGAGUGAUGUGGAUGCUCCUAGCAGAGCCCAAAUAUACUUAAGGAGACUGAUGAAGGAUGCCCGGGCUGCCUGGCUGCCCGAUUGGCUGCUGCACUCCCCAAGCUCCAGUCAAGAGGGCAAGCUGACACAGAGAGCAGAGCAUCCUCCCAGUGAUGGAGAGAGCCAGGAGAGCCCUGGGGAGAACAGGACUGAAAAAUGGCAAGGCAGGUUUCUGCAUGCUUCCCUGGGAGAAUGCAGAGAGGCGUGCAAGAAGGGGGAACAGACCCUGGGAUUUUUGCUUCCCUGCAAGGAAGGGCCAGAUCCAAACUCCCCUGAAGCCAGCAAAAGGGGUCCCACUGUUCUGUCAAUGCUUAAAAUCACAGUCUUAAAUCCCGGACACCCAGCAAAGGAAGGGGCUUGGGACACAUCCUGGAACUGAACUUCAGUUUGUGGGCAGCUACUUACCACCAUCAAGGAUGAAAAAGAGCAAGAUGUAAAUUAUAUGUAGCUUUUCUGUGUUGUACUUACGAUAAUGCCCAGACAUUUAUGCAAUGCAUAUCAGACAAAGAAAUCCAAAAGCUCCUCUAUGCCUUGCAUUAGUAAUUUUUGCAGAAUGUGGAAAUCAUGCUGCCCGUUCCACAUGCAGCCAGCCUUGGGGCCAAAAACAGUUGCUGUGCAAGAAUGUGCAUUAGGUCCAAUCCACUGCCCAUGGAGAUCAAUGGGACAGGUUUCCCUGACACUAGUGGGAGCUGAGCAGAAAACGAGAUAAACCAGUGUGAGCCAGGAGGCAAGUGCUGCUAUAAAGGCAGGGAAUUAGCCCAUACCAUCACCCCUGUCUUCUGAUUUUGAGUAUUGGAGUGGUAUUGGUAAGGAACACAGGAAAGGAAAGAACUUUGAGGCUUCAUGCAAGGGUUGCCUUCCUUGGAAUUUAUGGCAUGGAGGGCAACACAUGUGGCUGUACUGCUUCUGGCCUCCAGCUUAGGUCACACCUAUCCCUUACCUCAUUUUACUAAGCAUAACCCCUGUGACACCAGUUAGCAGGGCCCAGCCAGGAUUGCGGGGAUUUGGUGCCUCAAAGAUCAUGGGAGAUUUAACUCCUACCAGAAGCAGGGCCUGUGGACUUCUGAGGCUAGGGCUCAACUUUCAUUGUUUCAGAUGUCUACAGAAUAAAAGCUCAAACUCUGUAUCCCAUUGUAGUCAAAGGGCUAUAGUCAUCCAACCAUAUGUGGCUGUUAAGGGACUGUGCACUUCACUGUCUGUAUGGACCAUGCAACCUACAGUCUUGGUUCCAUGACUGUAGAUCCUUGGCUCCUUGAACUGCCCUGGGAGCCCAGAUAACAAGCUUAAAUGUGGACACCUACACUUCAGUUACCUACAGUUAGGUGAGAGGAAGGCCACCAUAGGUGUCUGCGGGACUGUAGAUGUACGUGAUGAGUUGAGCUACUGCAGAGGAUCAGGAGAUGAGGCCAAAGUUUGUGUUAGAUACACCAUCCCCUAUUAAACAACUGCCAGUGUGCUGGACCAGUGUUUGUGGCAGACACAGCCUUCUUUAUAGGAUGGCAGUGUAAGGUCACAACUGCUCUGCUUGUGUGAGUCACUUACACCCAUCUGGACCUCAACAGGACUUGAAAAGGGGAUAUUCAUCAUCUCAGCACAGCCUAUUUGGGCACCACUUGGGUAGGAGCAGUAGUGGCAGUUGAUAAACACUUUGCUAGAGUACUAUAUUCCUGAGCUUUUUAUUCUGCUGCUUAUGUGUGAUGGCAUAAAUCCUUGAAUAGCAGAGCCAGUCCAAAGCCCCCCAGCUUGUCACUGCUUGAAUAUGGAGAAGAUGAAUCAGAAGACUGAGAGGUGACUCAGGGAUUCUCUGUUUGCAUAGGAUGUAGUUUCUCUCUAUUUGCAGAACCAGCUGAUCAGGAGAGAGGUGUGGCAUCUGACAAAUGAAUUAUUCUUAGUGCAGCAGAGGAAUAAAAAACAUGCGUUGUUUUCCACUGUUGACAGACCUUUAAAAUUAUGCUGUUGAACACAGUAAAAUAUCUAGCAAAGAUUAUAACAGUUUGAGUAAAAAUGCAGAUGCAAGCAUACAUGCAUACAAACACACACUCACAGAAGAACAGCUCAGCUGGAAGAUACCCCUUAUUUACUCAUUUCGGCCAUGUGUUUGUACCUACAAAGACAAAUUCUUCUUGCAGCAGAUCUUUUCUUAGUUAGCUUUCUGAUAUCGGUAGUGAAUUCCUGCAGAGCAUAGAAAGUUUGCAGGAUAAGGAAAGCACCAAUAUGUCACCAUGUGGCACAGGAAGAAGCAAGGCAAGACCAAGAAGUGACCCAUAACUGAGCACUAGAUUCAAAUGAGGUUUCAGAGACUGAAGCAUGAUUUGUGCAGAAAUUAGUUCAGCAAUGUGCUGAACUGCAGCUCCCUGUUUAGGCUGCUGUCUAAUGCUGAACACAAAUGCACUCUGCAGGUACCUCAUUUCUGUUGCCCAAGAGAUUGGACCUGUUCUUCAUGUGCCCUGUGCUGUCCUGUGGCAGAAGUUAAGUCCACCCAGACUCCUGAGCCUGCUGAGCCACUGGAUCUCCAGAGAUGUUUUCUUAGGUGUCCUUGGAGCAUGCUUCAUCCACACUAGCAGGUUUGGGUUUUUCCACCUGCAGUGGUUUAAGGUGGUACCCGCUUUUACCACAGCCACUCAGUCCAUGGAGCACUCUCCUGGCAUGCUGAUGGUCUGGGUUCUGUUCUAAGUCUGUUUUGAGAGGGUGAGGGUUUGGUUCAAUGUCUUCCUUAUCUCAGAAGAACCGGAGAUAUGAAUAAAGAGCAGCAUAGGGGCUGGAAAGCAUUUUUUCUUGAGGACAUUAUGAAAGCUCUGUGAAUACACCCCAUCAGGCAGAGUCAUCCUGAAUGCAGAUGAAGAAAAAGUGACAGCCCUUUCAUGAAGGAAGUGGCGAGAAAUCAGCAGCUCUUUGCCUUUGGACCAGAUGUCACCACAGUGGCUGUUGCUGCUGAUACAUGGGGUUGUCUGAGGCGCUGGUGGAAGGGACCAAGACUUGGAAAUGGCACAGCACAUAGACACCUGCAAUUAGUGGACUCUAGCGUGUUUAGUUUGCACGUGCCAGCUACCUGGAGCUUUGCUGCUGGUUUGUUGUAGCUGCACAACUACACAGAGAGACCUAUCAGUGAAUCUGCACAGAGCCAGAGCUUGGCUUGUCCUCCCUGGGCUCUUCCCAGCCUUUCUGCAGCUCUUUGCAAGCAUUUUCAGCCUGUGAACAAAACUAAUGCUGAAGUAUUCUGAGCAUGCCCUUCUUUUGCAUAAUCCAAAUGUCUCAUUCUCUGAAAAUAUCCUCUCUCCAUUGCUCAUUCUGUUUAGCCAGCUGGAGGUGCCCUCAGGACUGGCAGCUAGGACUGAUGGCCUCAGGGCAAACCUGACAUGGAAACAUUGACAGAUAAUAGAAGAACAGGGAAAAGCAAUUGCAAUGUGCUAACUCUCCCUUGCAGGCUGCAAGUAAGAAUAAGAUGAAAAAGACAAUGCCAGACCUUUCUCCUGUCAUUUUAUGCCCUAGAAGGCUUGUGGUGGGGGAAGAGCAGCCCCUCUGCCAAGUGGGUUGGAUUGGGAAAAUGCCUGUCUGGGGAGUCUGCUUCCAUCUGCUGUGCAGCCAUGCUGCUCUGCAUCCUUUUGCUGCUUUUCAUGAUUUUAGUACCCUAGACCAGACUGAGCUGGCCACCAACUGAGCAAUGUCCCAGAGUGAGGCGAAGUCACUACCUAUCAGAAGGAGGGUGGUGGUGUGCUAUUUCUGGACCCUUUGUUUCCCACUGACUCCACAAAGACCCAAAAGUGAGUUAUUGGAGGGGAGUAUGUUUGCGUGACUAAGGAAGGGAAUAACUUAAGUGUCUUUAGUUUUCUAAGAGUGGCAUGUAGAGUGUCAGUUAAUUUUCAAGGAUCUUUUUACAGUGCCUGGAAAGAGAAAUGCACCUCUGAGGGGAGAUUCCUCCCCUAUCUCCAGUGCCAGGUGUUGAACAGACACAGCUCUCCAUGCCUGCACAAGGAGCCCCGAGGAUGGGUUCAGCCCAUCUUCUUUGUUUCCGUGCAUAUGCAAGGGUGCAUGGUGCCCACCCAGCCACCUUAGGGCCCCUAGACAUCUGCAUGGGGCUGGCAGAUCCAACAAAGGACCCAGGAUAAACCUGUCCCCUUCCAGAGAGGCCAAAUGAGGCAAGGCAGGAUACCCUGGUAAUCUCAGACAGCAUCACUUGCCUACAUUUGGACAACUGAACCUCACCAGGGAGGUUUCACUUUUACAUUGUUAAAGUUGGGUCAAUACACCUGUUCUAGAUCUUGACAAUUUGAAUAACGGGUAGAUUGGAAUUUUUCUGAGCUGUAUGUUUAUUUUUUCUACAUCCAUUCCGACUUCUUUUGAUUUCCCCUUUCCAUUUCACUUUGACUUUUCAAAACACUGAAGUAUCUGUGAAGUCAGCUCCUCAAAGGAGCUUGUUGUGGCAGUUGCAGAUCCCCCUGAGAUCUGGAGCCUUCAAGAGCUGAUGGCUCUUUUAGCACUUUUUGUGCCCCACUGUGCCUGUCCCCACGUACACACCUAGGGUGGUACCAAGGUGUUGAUCGUCACAUCCUCCCCUACUAUGAGGCAGGGUGACUUCACCUCCACCAGCUGGUGGGACAGGAGGGGUGGGACCCUCAGUCAAUUGAGCGUGUCCUUAACAGGACCCUGAGUCAAUUGACAGGGUUGUUAGCAGAGGAGGUGCCCAGAGAAGCUGCAAAGCUUCUGGACCAUGUUGUAAUGCCCACAGCCAAAUCUGACCAGACUAUAAAACAGGGUUCCCACCAAAGGCCCCAUUUGGAGUGGCCUUCUCAGAGCAGCGGGUCUGUGAACUCGACCCCUCUCCUUAGACUGGGACACCAUCUAAGGAGACUUCCUAGGAUUGAGAGCACCUCACCUCCUCGUCUGGGUGAGUGGUUAUUUACUGGCUAUAUCCUUGAAUGAGUCCUUACCUAACCCAGGCAAGUGAUUAUUUCUUGUGGGUACCCUGGAGUCAGAGGACUCUGUUUUGUUUCUUGUGAGUGUACGUGUUCAUGAUGUGGAUCCUCAUUAUUCUUAUUUUGCUGUACCCCAAUAAUCUCCUCAACUGGUAUUCAAACCUGUAUUUUAUGUUGUCAGAGUGCUAACUAAUUGUAUAAACCCUGUUUUUAGUUGGUUUAUUGGCUGCACUUUUAUGGCCAGAAUAAAGUCUGUUUUGGAACUUGUCCACCUAAAACUGACUUUAGGGUGUCUCUGUGACACUUGUGUGUCUCUUCUUUCUAUAUUUGGUUACCGGGCUUCUUGUUAAAAAUUUCCUUCUCUGAACAUGUGAUAUAAUUUGUUUCUUGGGUAAGGCUCUUCCAGCGAGAUUUAUUGCUCUGGCCCAGCACACCUCAUUCCCUCGGCAUUGUAGGAGUAGGGCAGGAGCACAAUGGCAGGGCACGAGCAGGGCAUAGACUGGCUGCUGGCUGGUGUUAGCUGUGGUGCACCUGAUCUCCUCACCCAGAUGGUCAAUUUGCAGCUGCACAGUAACACCAUAGUCUCGUCAGAAAAAAAUAUAAAUACUACCGGAGAGUUCGGUCUAGAAAUCUACGUCCUGGAGGUAUCCUGAGCAAUUUCUCCAAGUGUUGGCUGGGUCAGCCCUCACCACCUCUCCACACAGCAGCAUGUUCAGAUGACUUUGCCAUAGGUCAGUAACAGUAUGUACAAGAGGAAGAAUUCCAGCUGUCCUGUUGCUUGGCAGCUUUCAUACCACUGAAAGGUUAAUGGGGCCAAAUGCCUCCCUGAUCCUCAAAUACAUGGGCAAAACAUGGGGAACAUAGCUAUUACCUUUGAAACGUGGAGCUGUAGGAAGGCUGAUCAGCCACCAGCAUCUGUUCUCAGUUGCCCCGGCUGUGUGAAACUUGCACUGUCUUCUCCAGCCCUCCAGCUGCUCUGCAACAGUACAUUUCUGAAGUGGGAGAAACUCCUUCAUUUUCACGGGACAGGAUGCCACUGUCACUAUGUUGUAACUGCCCAGGUUGCACAACUAUCUCCCAACAUUGAAUCCUACAUUCCUCUCUGCAUUUGCACUCUGGCUGCCAAAUUAAUAUCCUUGCUCUUGUGAAGGCUCUGAUCCUCCUCUACUCCUUCCCUUCGUCCUUCCUUUUUGGGGUUCCUCUGUUCUUUAGCACUGAUCUUCAGUCACUGUUUACUGGUCAGAUGGUGCUGCCACUCUAUGGGUAAACAGGGAAAAUGUUUUUUCCACUGAGGUCUAUUGGGGCCAGAGGGGAGCUGAAUUGUCCUGAGAAACAUGUUCACACUGCCGUGUCCAACAGAGGGUCCACCUAGACCAUCCCCAGCCUCCCCCCUCCACUUCAAUGGCCUCCUGAAGGGUGCCCAUUCUUAUUUGCCACAUGUCUUCUGCUUAGAUUUAUGCUCUGGCCAGUUCAGCUGUUUGAGAACGUGCAGCAUCCUGCAACUGAAUUACCUAUUGUCUUACUAGUUGUAUCUGUCUCUGCGCUUUUUUUUCUAGGAUGUUCUACUUAACUUUCUAGACAAUCAGAUGUUUUAGUCUAUGUGGCAUGGACAAGUUUCAGUGACUUCUCCCACCUGACUUUUGUUAUUUGGGAUCUGCUGAGUUGUACAAUCUCCUCUGCCAGUAACAUCCAACCAGACACAUCCCCAAGGUAAAAAUCUGCUUAGGGAGCUGCAGUUGUCUCAGGUGCACAAACCUUUUCUGGCAUGAAUGCAAUAUGGAAAGCAAGGCAACAAAGUUCACUAGAGCCAAAUGGGUCUCAUUAAUUUCUGCCAUCCUAUAGUCUUUCUGCUUUAAGCAAUACUACAAGAACAGAGAGCCAAUAAUAAAGCUUAGAGGUUGCCUGAAACUAUUCCUACAGGCAGACAAAGCUAAUAAAUGUGUACAGAAAAAAAUAGAUACAAACCAUGAAAAUAUUUUGCCUGAAAUAAAAUAAAAGACCUUCUCAGUUUCCCCCUUCCUGCUCCAUUCCUCCUUUUUAUAUAUGUCCAUGAUUUGUUCAGCUGCUGGAGCUGUGUACGUGCAGUAUCCAAAGUGAACACACGAGACAGCACAUGGUUUCUGCUGCAGCCCUUCUGCAACAGGAGGAGCCCAGGCGGACUGGCCUUUAGCUGGCACAGUCCAGAUGCAUGAAAAUGGAGCUGGUCUAAGAAAAUUUGGCCCAGAUGUUUACACUGCUGAUUUUUCUCUAGCUGUUCAGAGAAAUUUGGAUACCGGACUUUUCAAUGCAGUUCAGCAUCUGACUCAGGCUAACAGAGGACUGGGCAAGACCUGUAGAGACUGAUCCUUUUCAUGGUUAUUAUUUGUAAGGAUAUCAGCUUUGCUGAGGUAACUGGGCCAUCUGUGCUUCAGCUUUUUUUUAUUUUAUUUUUUGGAGAAUUUCUACUCAUUCGGAGAAUUUUCUACUACUACUCUUUGUGCCCUUUAUAAUACUCCCCGCUCUGCUUUCUGUUUUAUUGUCCUCCUGAUAAGCCUUUAGGCAGAGAUCAAGGCUUGGAUAGAAGAGAUUUCACUGCUCUAAACCAUGGAAACGGCUUAAGUCAGGUUUAGUCUCCUUCACUGUCAUCAAACUAUACUAAUGCAAAAGUGCAGUACAGAUAUUCCUAGUAAAAUAUAAUCAAUUUCAGGCCUCUUGUUUGAGACAAUCAGGUGUAAUAUCUCAAUGUUUUACCCAGAAACACUCUUAGUCGUCUAUUAAAAAAAAAUUCAAAAGGUUCAUGAAAAUGUAUCUGAAUAUUUCCGAGUGAAAUAUAUCAAUGUCAACUAUAUAAUAAUUUCAUUAUUGUAAGAAAUACUGAGUACUCUGGCUUGUCCAAUUAUAAGGAUAACUCAUUUCUCUCCUUCUGUCUCAGCCACUUGAUUCGGCAAGUGGGCAUCUCUUCUUCAUAUUGUGUUGCCAGAUGACCCGCUCCAGAGCUUGCAGGCUUGGAAGAUGUCUGAUUUGUAAAGCUCAUCCAUUACUCGUUUCUGCAAAGGAAUCUCCCACAUGAGAAAGGCCUUUUAGCCCCAGUUUUUCCCCAGUGCUGAGAUCCAUCCAGUCCAUCUUUGCUAAUGGGUCUUCUCUAUCCAGUGCAGGCUUACAUGACACUUGUGUAAUGCUCAUCACACCAUGAGCCUUUGUUGCAUCUGCUCUCUCUUUCUCUCAGCUUUAUCCAUGUCAAGAUCAUUCCCCUGGUUCCCCAAGGCUGGCUUUGUAAAGGAAAAACUUUCACUCCUACAGAGAUGAGUUCAUAACAAGUGGAUCACCAUCCCUGUGGGCAUCUCCCUUCCCUGUCAGUCAGAUUCCCAAAGAGACCACUCUGGAGAUGACAACAAAUUAAGGCUCUUUGAGUGUUAGCUGACUGACAUCUUCUUCUGCUGGCUCCCUGAGUGCACAGUUUGUGCAGCCACAGUGAUUCCUCAGUGACCAGGCAGGGAAGGAUGAUGGGUUUGUUAUGCUGUGUGUGCACUUUACUCUCAGCCUGUGACUAUCAGCUGGCAAGAAGCACCCAGUAAGUCAGAAUACUAAUAGACUAGUGAACAAAAAACUGGUGAAAGUUAACAUCCGAGUUAAUUAGAAGACAUCCUCUGUGAUCGAGGAUUAUAGAAAUAUCUGUAACACCUCAGGUAAAUCUUCGUUAUAGCUUCCAGAGCAAGUGCUACUGUGAGAUAAAACUGUCUGGUGAUUAAGGUAUCAGGUCAAAAACUCGUUUGUGCUCAGGACUCCUCUUCUGAGGUGACGAGAGUCCUCAGCAUUGGAACUUCAACCAAUACAGACCUGGGGUCUGUCCUUCCCACUGGGGAUCACCGAACACACAACAUCACCACGAUGGUGUCCUUCCAUGAUUCCAUAAGGGUGGCUAAUAGUGCUGAUACCAAAUCCUCACUGGUGGCCAGGUCUAGAUGGGACCCUGGGCAGGGAUGAGAGUGGCAGAGGGGCAGGGGGCUGCUCUGUCCCACAGCCAGCUCUGGAAUGCCGCUACCACUGUGGCAGCAGCCAGAUCAGGCACGCUGCUCAUUCGGUGAGACCCAACACGUGGCAUGGCGUUACGAGCUGCUCAGGAUUUCCAUGCUUUGCCUUUGCCUCUGGAGGAGGGGUCUCAGAGUUGUCCAAAUUAUGCUGCUUCAUAAACAAAAACAAUCACUCUGUUCCUUUAUCAUUUCCUGAGUGGGCACAUUCAUCUCCAUCCUACUUGUGGCUGACAGCCAGCACAUGGAUCUGUGCAGGAAAUCUGCCUCGAACAGCACGUGAGUGCUGCCAAGAAAUGCAUUGCUGGUCCCCACAGGCACCAGCAGACAACAUUAUAAUUACUUAUCCUCGGGAGAUCGAGUUGCGCAUGGUAUUCUUCUCCAAAAACCUGAGCACUUUCAUACUGCACGGUAGCUUUGCUUGCGAAGAGAGGAGGGACAGUGCCCAAGGCUAUUAUUAGACCCAGAUAGCAGAGAGGUGCUGCAGGAAUGUUUUGGUGUUGCAACCCCUGUAGCAUCUGACUGAGCUGUUGCUGUUGAGCUUGCAGGGCAGCGGGGAGAGCUGUGACUCACACAGGAUGGGAUAUUCAGGGCACAAGAUCCUCUCAGCUUCCCAGGAACCAAGGUCUGGUCUGCAGUGAGCACAGCAGCUGCUCCCCGUGUGCAAGAGAUUUCACCUUUCUGCUCACUCGUGCUGUAGACCAGUCUCAGGUUGGCUCUGGGGCCGUGUCCACUGAUCUCUCUGGGUGGAGCUGCCGCAUCUCAUGUGCUUGCAAAACACUUCUCUCCCCAGGGGCUUUCCCAGGGAUGAGGGGAGAGGAUUAUUCUUUGUGCUUAAAAGCACAGAUGCCAAAGCCUGCAGCCCUGAAGGAGGUUAGACACAGCCCUUACCCUGGCAGCGAGAGCUGUGCUCCUCCCAGCUCAGGCAUCCCCUCUCCGAGCGGGGUGGGCACUGGCCAUGGCUGUGGGAAUUUCGCCCCUAUUCACUCACAGAGGAGAGCAGGGACAGCAAGCCCAGAGGAGGGAGAGGCACAGGAAAAGAGAUCUUGCUGCCUGCUGGGCUUUCAACCUGGUCCCCAGUAAGGCAGAAGCCUUUCAGCAGGGCUGCUGCUGUUUAUUUCAUACAUGCAGUACCUCUGUGAAAGCAAAGUGUGAGACUGACUCAGCUGCUGCUGCAGAGAUUUACGGCUCCAGCCAGAGACACGGGGAGGGACAGCCACACUGCCAGCACACAUGGACACACGGUCAGCUGCAGCUGCUGCUCAUCGCCUGCCCUGAAAGUUUGGGACCAGUUCCCACACUGCUGGUAACAGGAGCCGUGGUGCACAAGCCACAAGCCAGACAGGAGGGCUUGCAGAGGUGGCUUUUCUCCUCCUUGGCUGGGCAGACACUGCAUGGUGGGCCGUGUUGUUUUCCAGAGAAUAGGAACAAAAAUCAAAUGCAUGAUGCUCCUGUACUGAUGUUCAGAGGAAAACACUGUGCUUGUAAGCAAAAUGUGAUUACAAACACUAAAAUGGUCACAUAACUGAAAUAUGUGUAUGGCUGGAGGAGGAAUAAGCUGCUGGCGAGAGGGAAGGCAACUCCUGUACCCUCAGAGGUAAUGGGACUCUCUAAAGAAUAACACCCUCCUAUGAAUAUAGACCCUUCCAACAGCCAGACUGGGUCUGCUGUCCACCUGGCCUCUGCCCAUCUCCUGGUUUCCACCUGCAGUGGUUUCCUCACACUGCUUGUCAGUGGCUGACAUUGCCGCAGGGAUAUUACCAUCCAGUACAGCUGAAAACUUGUCCCCCUAUGGGAUCAGCAUCCUUUUCGGGAUUGCAAGGAGACACCUACACCCAGCUGGGAUCCACCAACCAGGACCCUUUCCUGAAGGCAGAUGUAGACAUAACAAACACCUUUCACAGACCUCACCAGCAUUGCUUCUGUUCUUUCCAAAUGAAUCCUCCUUUUCAGUGAUUAUGUGGAGACUGGAGCUUUGGUCCAAGAAGUGUGGGAGGCAGGUUUGGUGAGUGAAGGGAUUAAAAUCCAUGCUUGUUAACCAGUCAGUCCAGGGGGGGCUGGUGGGUCUUCCCAUCACUCUUGCUCAAAACGCGCCUGCUGUGCAGCAAGGAACUUAGACGCUGAUCAGAUAGAGAGAGUGCUGCUGCAAAUACAGCUGUGAUUUAGUGAUCAGGGUAUGGAGGUGGCUGCCAAACCUUGUUGUGCAUUUUGCAUUAAACAUUUAACACAUAAAAUAAGGAAAUGGUUUUCUGGAGCAGAGUGCCCCUUCUCUAGGUGAGCAGCUUGACUCCUAAACCACCAAAGUCAUCAUUUUUCCCCUGCUGCAGAUGCACUGAGAUUUCUUUGCCUUCUGCAAUUGGAAGGAAAAACUGAAAGUUGAGAGUGUUCUGUCAGAGACAACUUGGAAAAUAUUUCACUGGGAAUGUCACAAUAACUUUAUCAUAACACUGCUUUUUGUGAGGUUAUGGGAUUUUUGUUCUGGUUUCAGGUUGCAGAGUUUUGAGUUAUUGUAUGGUGCAAGACUACUCUAAGACAAUAGAGUGAAAUGCUCUUUUUUCUAAGCUGCCCCACCGCUCUGGAAAAUGAAGGUGAUAAUAUGGCUGGUUUACACUCUGCUUGCGUAUGUGGGUUUGUUGUGAACUCUGAGCAGCCAAAGGUACAAAGACAUCCCACAGCUCCAUGUGAGAAGGGGGUACAUCCAGCUGCAGCACAGGGCAGUAAUUAACAGUGACUAUAAUUAUCCAAAGGGGUUGCUGAGAGAGGGUACUGUGGCUUCUCUAGUGCUAUCUUUAGGAAGUCUAAAAGUUGCCUUGCAUUUAUCACCAAAUAAGAGGCAACACAUGGGCAUGAAGACAAGAAGACCCUGGACAAAGGGCUGGGGACAACUCAGGGAGCACGAAGGUGCAGAAAAGGAGGGAUCACAGAGAUUAAGCUGUAGCUCAAGAAAGCAAGUGUACAGCCAACAGGCGGGGUCAGGGACAGGAUGUUAAGAGGGAAUGUUGCACUGGAAAACAACAUAAUUUGGCUUUUUUUUUGUUUUAAAAUAAAAUACAGUGUCCUCUGUGUAAGACCAUGCUGGGACACCCUGUCCGACCCUGCUCUGAACCUGGGUGUGUGACCAGCAGUAAUCUGGGGUCUUGUAGCGGUCUGUCCUACGUAGUGUUUGCUGGAGAUAUUCCUGCCAGAGGAAGAAGACUCAUGCCAGGAACAAGGAUUGGGGACAGAACCCCAGGAAUGGUGAGCACGGCUGGGCAAGGGCAGGACCACGGCUGCCCAGCUCCUCCACACCCCAGCGUUGGCUGUUCCAUCUGUAAUUCAGUUUUCAUGGUUAACUUGACAUGAUGUAACCCCCGUCCUUAUGACUCAGCACGCCAAAUAUAAGCAUCGAAUGACUACAGAGUCAUCUGAUUUACAGGAGUCUCACUUAUAACAGCUCAUUACCGAGCCAGCAAAGUGUCUGUGAGCCAGACAGCGGAGGGGAGAUCGGAGAGCUCAUGAAAGAAGAUUUUGGGAAGACUUUUACAGUCAGGCCUCUGAAACCACCUUCUUGCUGCUUAUGAGCAAAAUUGCUCUGCCUUACUGUUUGUUUGUUUGAUUGAUUGAUUUUUUCCUUCUCACUUCGAUUUCCAUCCCUGAGCCAGGAAAAUUUUCCACCAACAUGGUGUGAGAGCAAAGAAAGCCCCCAGAGCUUUGCUGAUGGCAGAAUUUGUAUACAGCAUCUCUGCAUCUCUGCCAGCGUGUCCUGUCAUGAGUCAAUCGCUGGUCAGAAGCUCCUAUUGGUGUGAAGUAUAUUGUUGACACACAGGCUCGAUAUAUUUAUUACAUAAGGAGAGCCAGACUUCCUAUUUUUUUUUAUAUAUAUAUAUAUAUUUUUAAUCACUCUACCACUCUUUACAGCUCACUCUUAAAAAUGCAAGACACAGUCAGUGUCCUGCUAAGGGCUGUAUGUAGUUCAGGCUAAGAUGUUUCCUGCAUGACUACAGCUAAAACUACUACCAUGGGCAUAGCCUGGGCACUGAGCUUGUCUCAUCUGACUGCAAAGCACCUGUUUGUUAUCACUUGUCUUUAAGCUAGGUUCAUAACGGAAAUUGAGGCACGUUCAAAAGUGCAAUGCCACUGACAUUCAGCUCUUGCUUACCCCAUUCCCCACCAUCACAUCUGUUUCUUUCUGGGUUUGUGCAGGUCUGUCUAUGCCCUGAAAACAAGAAGUUAGAAGGAUGGGCACCAGCUGCUCUCAAAGAGCUUGUAGUUCUCAAUACAGAAGGCACAUAGACAAAGCCCUUCACCACAUGGUACAAGGCAAACAUCUCUGCAGCAGGGUAAUUCCUUGACUGCAAGCUAUAGGAUACUUGGGAUAAGGGUUUUCCAGGAGCAGAGACGGGCACCCAGGUCUCCCCACAGCUAGACGGGUAUAACUCCAGUUUCUCGCAGCCACAGAGGAAACAAAACAGUUUUAUUCCAGUUCUAUGGGCUAUGAUCAGCCCCACUUACUCUGCUUGAAUCACAACUUCACCCACGUAAUGGCCACACUCUCUACCUGCACACCUCUUGCUAGUCAACAGCAGAUUGCCAUGAUUUAGGAAAUGCAAGAAAGGGACCCAGUUUUUAAGGAAAAUCCAGACUGUUUGGAUAUAUGGUAAUCCACGGGCAUUUUUCAUACUCUCUCACCCUUUUUAUGCACAGCUGUAUUGAGAGACGGAUGACAGCCAGAACCUCUUGGGCUUUGUCCAUGUAUGACCAUUGUUUGUAUUAAAAAAAAAGAUAAAAUAAAAUUCCUGGAAAUGCUGAGUCCAAUGAUUUAUUGCUUCAGGAUCAGAUUUUCUGGAACUGUGUGAGAUCCUCCCAGAUCGCAGCAGCCUUGCAAAGUUAAGGUGCUGUUAUCAUUAUGUCCUCAGUUGUCUUAUUUUCCCCAUAGGGAGAAGUAAUUGUGAAUGCAGUUUGUGUCUGGGGGCAGUAUAUUCUACAAAAAUGCUGCUCAUUACUGUGUUGCUUUUCAUCUGCAGAGGGGAGAAGCGAAGUGAAAAUGCCUGGAGGAGCAAAACUGUGGUAGUAUGAAUCUCAUUUUACUGUGCCUAGAAGAACCUCAUGCAGACAAGGACUUGAUAGAAGAGAGUCAACACUGAAUAAAAAUUCCUAAUUAGAACCCUAUCAAAAGCAGUGCUCACACAACAAGAUGUAUAAGGUCUCACCACUUUUACAGAAGCCAGUGCCAGUGUGUGCUUGCGUGGCUUUCUUAUAAUCUGUUUGUACAUCUCCUGUCUUGAAAUUGUUGAUUUCUUUCCAGCUACCUGCAUAUCGCUUUGAGGAGCUGGAUGGCCAGAAGUGCUGGUUGUGGUGCUGGGUAACUGGGCAGAAGUGCUGCAAAGUCAUUGCUCCAAGACACUGCACUGGAAACUCCCAGUCCCAAGAUAAAGAGUUUUACCUGUGUAAUUCUGGGGACAGAAGUGUCAUUUGCAGCACUGGGUGUAGAAAACAGCCUAUGGGUAGAGGGAGGUCAUGUGGCUGCUGCUGAAAACAGCCUAUGGGUAGAGGGAGGUCAUGUGGCUGCUGCUCUGGGGCCCUAAGUUUUUUGGGGGGCUGGCAGACCCCAUUUGUGGGUGUUGCCUGCACCCUGUGGGUUGGGGCAGAGCUCCAGUUUGCAGCAACCAACACAACCCUUGUGCAGGGGCAGGGUUUUGAAGACCAUCCCCAACUGAGCAAGGGACUCAUCCCGGGGUUGCUCGACCUCAGCUCUGACAGCUCCCGAUUUGUGUCAGCCAUCACUGGUGUUGUGCAUCGCCUGCUUUUCUCACUCCCUACACCACAUAUGCCGGGGGGAGUUUCCUCAGGCAGGGACAUGGUACUGCAGGCUUGUUUUCUCCCUUUCUGCCCUGGAGUUUGUGCCUGCAGCGCUCUGUGGUGUGCUUCGUUUGUUUGCUUUGCUUUUUCCAUCCUGUUAUGUUUUGAGGGGGGGUAAAGCAUGAACACCUUUUUGCAAAGCCAUGCUCUGUGCAUGUAUUCUCUCAGAUUGUGCAAAUCUUCCCCUGCCGCCUCCUUGAGACUGCCACACACUGGGCUGCACCUUGCUCCCCCACCUCCUGCACACUGUGAGCUCUUGAGGAAGCAGCGAUGCCCGUGGUACCCCUAGAGUGAUGCCCAUCUGUGUGCUGGUUCUCUAUACACUCCCUGCCUGCUGUAAUCACUGAUGGUCCAAAACUUCAGUGCAGGGAUGUCCUCCCCAGGACGCUACUGGCUGGAGGAAUGGCACUGAGCAGCACCAGCAUCCCCUCCCUGCUCUCAGCACCAAGGCUUAGCAGUGGUGAGGCUGGUAAAGGGGGCGAUGCCAUCAGAUGCUGUGUUACAUGCAUCUUUGCCACACACACAGAAACAUACACACACACAUGUUCCUGACAAGCAGGGCAGCAGUGAAGGGCAGCAGUGAAGCUGUCAGCGAGCUGGGAGGCACCUGGAGGGCUCUCAGGGAAGAACUGGGCUUUUAGGAACUGUUUUGGAUUCAGCCCCUUCCUCCAGAUAACAGCUCUCUGUCAGCUAGCACAUUUCUAACAUCUCAUUUUCCUCUCAGCAAAGCCAUGUCACCCACUCUGAAUUAUUUCUGAUUUCACCCCAUGUAAAAUAGAUUCUUCUGAUGGGCCAUUUAUAACUGACCCAUCACAGGGUGCCAUAUAUCCUGAUGUCAGAGUGAGCACCGAUGAUUUAUUGGGUAUGCCCCUGUGAAGAAAUUACUCAUUUUCAUUCAGGGGAAAAAAAGUUAAACUUUUUCCUCAUUCUUUCAAAUUUUAUCAGAGAAUAAUUGAAAAUAAAGGCUGAAAUCGACUUCUGAAAGACAGCCUUGGGGCAGAGCCAGGAGAGACAGAGCAUCUAAAACCCCUUUGGUCUUUACUUUGCUCCAGUGUGACAAUUGCUCUGUAGCAGGCAAUUUGCAGGAUUUGUAGAAUCCUAGUACUUCAGGAGAUCCAGGGCAGACCUCUGUCCCUUUGUAGCACUGAAAAUUUUGUUUUAUUGUUUCUGAAAGUAAACAUCUCCCUUAAAUAUCCUCCUGAUGGGGAGGUUUUCCCUGGAAAUCAGCAUGUUGGCAUGAGACAACACAAAAGAAACAUCCACUUAAAGCAAAUGCAGGGUUAUGGAGGUCACAGGGAUGUGGGAGCAGCAGAUGCAGCCAACAUUUGGCCAACGGAGGUGGCUGGAUGAGCAGAAGUGGCACGAGGGAUGUCCCACCAGAGGGAAGGGCACUCCCAUCUCUUUGUCUCAAUCAGCCCAGCAGUA